GCUGUGGUGGUUCAGUGGUAGAAUUUUCACCUUUCACGUGGGAUACCCAGGUUUGAUUCCUGGCCACUGCA
rfam:Loxodonta africana unplaced genomic scaffold scaffold_26, whole genome shotgun sequence.